UUCAAAUUGUAAAAUUACAAAUUUUUUUCAAUAAAUUGUUCAUUAAUUAUACAAGAGACUCCUUUUUAAUUAAAAAUUCAAUUCCCAUGGGAAUUGAAAAAAAAAAUAAAAAAAAAUCCCUCCACCCCGGCCGGCUCCCCAAGUACUACCUCUACUUCAAGCAGAAGCACUCUACUUAAAAGUACUUCUGCUUAAAGUAGAGAUAGCACUCGGAGAGCCAGCCGGGGUAGCGGGGCGAAGAGAAGACCAAACUUGCUAAUGCAAAUUGCCAAGUUGAUCUUCUCUUGAGAGCAGCCACGCGCAUACCUGGCAAAUACGUAAAACAACAAACGUUAGUAACAAAUAAUUAGCAUGCAAAUUUGAAUCCCAUGGCCGAAAAUGACAAGUGCCCCCCACUGAUUCCUGCCAACUGCCUACCUGCCUCAACCCUAAACUGUCUGCCUCGGUCCUAAGCUGCCUGCAUUCCAUUCGUAACUUCCGCUUUCCUCACCAUCACACAGACACUCACAACUGCCCAACCCGCCACCAACCCGAACUGCCCACCCUUAAAACUGAAGGAAUUAAAAUUUUGGUAAAGUAUACAUAAUUAAUUUAAUUAAUUCGGAUAUUUUAGGCCAA